AGAGUUUGAUCCUGGCUCAGGAUGAACGCUGGCGGCGUGCUUAACACAUGCAAGUCGAACGGGAAGGCGACCUUCGGGUCGUUGGAGAGUGGCGCACGGGUGAGUAACACGUAGCUUAUCUGCCCUAGAGAGUGGGAUAACGCACCGAAAGGUGUGCUAAUACCACAUAAGCUCACGAUGAAUAGGUAGUUGUGAGAAAAAGCUGAGGCGCUCUAGGAUGAGGCUGCGGCCCAUCAGCUAGUUGGUGUGGUAAAAGCACACCAAGGCGACGACGGGUAGGGGACCUGAGAGGGUGACCCCCCACACUGGGACUGAGACACGGCCCAGACUCCUACGGGAGGCAGCAGUGAGGAAUAUUGCCCAAUGGACGCAAGUCUGAGGCAGCGACGCCGCGUGGGUGAAGAAGGUUUUCGGAUCGUAAAGCCCUUUUCUUGGUGACGAGAAAGGACGGUAGCCAAGGAAUAAGUGUCGGCUAACUACGUGCCAGCAGCCGCGGUAAAACGUAGGACGCAAGCGUUAUCCGGAAUUACUGGGCGUAAAGCGCGCGCAGGCGGGUUAGCAAGUCUUUCGUGAAAGCUCCCGGCUAAACUGGGAGAGGUCGGAAGAAACUGUUAGUCUUGAGGGUGGCAGAGGAAUGUGGAAUUCCGCGUGUAGUGGUGAAAUGCGUA
rnacentral:rRNA from 1 species